GACGAACGCUGGCGGCGUGCCUAAUACAUGCAAGUCGAACGCUUCUUUCCUCCCGAGUGCUUGCACUCAAUUGGAAAGAGGAGUGGCGGACGGGUGAGUAACACGUGGGUAACCUACCCAUCAGAGGGGGAUAACACUUGGAAACAGGUGCUAAUACCGCAUAACAGUUUAUGCCGCAUGGCAUAAGAGUGAAAGGCGCUUUCGGGUGUCGCUGAUGGAUGGACCCGCGGUGCAUUAGCUAGUUGGUGAGGUAACGGCUCACCAAGGCCACGAUGCAUAGCCGACCUGAGAGGGUGAUCGGCCACACUGGGACUGAGACACGGCCCAAACUCCUACGGGAGGCAGCAGUAGGGAAUCUUCGGCAAAGGACGAAAGUCUGACCGAGCAACGCCGCGUGAGUGAAGAAGGUUUUCGGAUCGUAAAACUCUGUUGUUAGAGAAGAACAAGGACGUUAGUAACUGAACGUCCCCUGACGGUAUCUAACCAGAAAGCCACGGCUAACUACGUG
rnacentral:rRNA from 1 species